rnacentral:rRNA from 1 species
AGGACGAACGCUGGCGGCGUGCUUAACACAUGCAAGUCGAGCGGAAAGGCCCUUCGGGGUACUCGAGCGGCGAACGGGUGAGUAACACGUGAGUAAUCUGCCCCUAGCUCUGGGAUAGCUCCGGGAAACCGGGAUUAAUACCGGAUACGACCACCUUGGACAUCUUUUGUGGUGGAAAGAAUUUCGGCUAGGGAUGAGCUCGCGGCCUAUCAGCUUGUUGGUGGGGUAACGGCCUACCAAGGCGACGACGGGUA